GACGAACGCUGGCGGCGUGCUUAACACAUGCAAGUCGAACGGAAAGGCCCUGCCUUUGUGGGGUGCUCGAGUGGCGAACGGGUGAGUAACACGUGAGUAACCUGCCCUUGACUUUGGGAUAACUUCAGGAAACUGGGGCUAAUACCGGAUAGGAGCUCCUGCUGCAUGGUGGGGGUUGGAAAGUUUCGGCGGUUGGGGAUGGACUCGCGGCUUAUCAGCUUGUUGGUGGGGUAGUGGCUUACCAAGGCUUUGACGGGUAGCCGGCCUGAGAGGGUGACCGGCCACAUUGGGACUGGGAUACGGCCCAGACUCCUACGGGAGGCAGCAGUGGGGAAUAUUGCACAAUGGGCGGAAGCCUGAUGCAGCAACGCCGCGUGCGGGAUGACGGCCUUCGGGUUGUAAACCGCUUUCGCCUGUGACGAAGCGUGAGUGACGGUAAUGGGUAAAGAAGCACCGGCUAACUACGUG
rnacentral:rRNA from 1 species